rnacentral:rRNA from 1 species
AUGGCUAUAGAAAUAGAAUCAUCUGAGUUGAGGAGAAUUACUAACGAUUUUUCGGAUGCCCAGAAAGUUGGAAGUGGUGGCUAUGGAGACGUUUACAAGGCAGUCUACAAUGGGGAAGCCAUAGCAGUGAAGUUGCUUCAUGCGACCAAAGGCAUUGACGACAAACAAUUUAUUAAGGAACUCCGUAACCAUAUGAAGGUCCAACAUCCAAACAUUGUACGGCUAGUUGGGUAUUGCAAUGAAGAAACUAAGAAAUAUAUUGAGCUACCUGAUGGCACGUCUGUUUUUGGUAGACACAUAUACAAAGUGCUCUGCUUUGAAUAUAUGGUCGGUAGAAGCUUAGACAAGCGUCUGUCUGGAAUUUCUCUGGGAGAUGAAUGGUGCACACAUUACCAAAUAAUAAAGGGGACUUGUGAAGGUUUGUGUUAUCUUCACAAUGGAUGUGAAAGUCGGAUCCUCCACUUGGAUCUAAAGCCUGCCAAUGUGUUACUUGACAAGAGCAUGAAACCGAAAAUUGCGGAUUUUGGAUUGUCAAGGAUCUACACUGCAAGCCGUAGCCAUACCAAAGUUGAUUCAGUUUCAGGGACAACGAAAUACAUGGCGCCUGAAUUAAUACGUGGGAGCAUGAUGUCAGACAAGACUGAUGUCUACGGUUUAGGUGUUACAAUCAUAGAAGUAAUUAGGGGACCUGGUGGUUUUGAAAUUUAUCACGACUCAGGGGACACAAAUUUUGUUGAAGAUGUGUGUGCAUAUUGGAGGAAGAGGGAUAGCACAACAAAUUUAUAUCAAGUGGAGACAUGCACCAAAAUUGCAGUACGUUGUCUCAAUCAUGAUAGAAGGAAGAGACCCACAAUAAAGGAGAUUGUAGAAAACUUGAAUGGUAUAGAAACUCAGGGUUUGAGCAAGGAUCUCCAUGCCCUCACGGUGAAUUCUUGCCUCCCUAUUCCAGACAAGAUUUCCACUGCCAUUUCAGGAAGGGGGGCACUGGAUGUGGUGAUUGUGUAUGCCUUUGAUUGUACUGACUCAACCCCAGCCUGGUACACAGUGGAUAAUGGGAUCUUUUGGUUGGUGCAAGAGAAGCUAACCAACUUGCAUGAUAGUUGCAUGGGCUAUAUUUACGUCAUGUCAACGCCUAACACAUACACAUCGGAUAUGAAAGUAGUUGACUCAGCUGAGACAAAGCAAACUGGCUACACGGGAUUCGCUUGGCGCAGGAUGACCUGCAGUAAAAAUAUGGCAUCAGGCCUUGCUGAGGCGCAUAAAAUGAUCAGCAAUCGUGGCCACCACAACGGCAUCAUCUUGUUCUUCUCUGAUGGGUUAAUAAACAAUGGGGACUUUUUUGAUGGAACAGAGAACUUUGUCUCCAAAGUUCCUGUCCACACAUUUACCCUGGGCGGGGACGCAUAUAACCAUGUCCUCCACUCCAUUGCGACCAAUUCUCCAGGUGGGAAGUUUCACAGCAACACCGUUCCAGAAAGGCCAAAUCUAUCAACACCCUUCUCAAAACUACUGGAUAGCCUCCUUGGCACUACCCCGAAGGAUGAUGAGAUGCCUCUUAGUUCCAUUUCAGGAAGGAAGCCACUGGAUGUGGUGAUUGUGUACGCCUUUGAUUGCAUAGACUCAACCCCAGCCUGGUACACGGUGGAUAAUGGGAUCUUUUGGUUGGUGCAAGAGAAGCUAGCCAACUUGCCUCACAGUUGCAUGGGUUAUAUUUACGUCAUGUCAACCGCUAACACCUACACGUCAGACAUGAAAGUAGUUGACUCAGCUGAGACAAAGGAAACUGGUUACACGGGAUUCGCUUGGCGUAGGAUUGCUUGCAAUAAACAUAUGGCAUCAGGCCUUAUUGAGGCACAUAAAAUGAUUAAUAAUCGUGGUCACCACAAUGGCAUCAUCUUGUUCUUCUCUGAUGGGUUGAUAAACAAGGGAGAUUUCUUUGAUGGAACCGAGGAUUUUGUUUCCAGAGUGCCUGUCCACACAUUUACCCUCGGCGGGGACGAAUAUAACCAUGUUCUCCACUCAAUUGCGGCCAAUUCUCCGGGUGGAAUGUUUCACACUAGCCCCGUUCCAGAAAGGCCAAACCUAUCAACAGCCUUCUCGAAACUACUGGAUAGCCUCCUUAGCGGCACGAUGGAGGACAAAAAUUAUCAAUAG